CACUUCAACCCCCAGGGGAACCCUAUCAGGGCGUGAUCCUCUUCACAGCUGAGGAAGCUGAGGUCGCAGAUGAAGUCCUUUUCCCACGUUCGCCCUGCUGGGGAAUUGGCGGAAGGAGGUUUGCACGCAGCCCGUCUGAUCCCAAGUCCGCGCGCACAGUCCCUGCAGAGCUCACCUCCCGCCCGGCGGAGGGAGGCCGUCCCGUCCUUGUUCCAGAAGCGUUUCUCGAAGGAGCCCAGGCACGGCUGACACACAAGCCAGCCGCCGCUGUGGUCAGGAAAGGCAGGACGCUUCCUCACAACAACAAAGUUCUUAAAGCCUCUGGAAGCUCCCCCUCAACAGUGGAAACCCCCGGACCUUUGAAGGGAGAGUGAGAGUGAGUCCCCUCUAAACCCAGGACGACCCGGAAAUCCCGCUGACUGCCGGCAGCCGGGGCACAGGGGGCCUACCGGGCUGUACAUCCACCGUCUGGAAGGUUGCUUGGGAGAUCUGCAGCCCUGGCGGAUGCAAAGGCCCUGUGGCUGCCCUUCCUUCCUGUCCUUUAUCCAAAGCUUCGGAUGGAUGGAAUCGCUGAAGUGCACAGGUCUUGGUGAAACUGAGGAGGCUCAGAUCCUGAGAGGUCGUCAAGUGGCGUGGAGUUGAGGCACAGUGUAUUCUCAUAGUGGCCACUUACAACACCAAUUAAAAUUAUGAAUACUGUGUGCCGGACAGAAAAACAAGGUCAACAGCCCGAAGCCUGGAUCCUGACUCUUCAUCUUGUGCAGUGGCUCCAGUUCCACCUGCCACAGAGGGAAGUCUGAUGGAAAGAGGGUCAGAGUAAAACGGGCUGUCCUCAUGAUUGUCAGCAAAUAUCCUACUUUUGCAAAUUUCUCAAAAUGACCCUGUCAGCACAUUGCGAGGCCCCUUCUAGGGCAGGAGAGGAGCUCGUGCACGUGAAGGGUCCUGGAGCUGAGCUUCACCAGCUUCCUGGAAAACCCACCUCUGAGUAGAAGAUUGCAUAUCAGAUUGGCAGCCAGACUGUCAACAAGAGUCCAGUUCUGUGACUGAAAUUUGGUCUAACGUCACCUUCUCAUGGUCCAGAGAAGAAGCUUCAGAUGAUAGGUCGGCUGUUACAACACCAGAAAAGUUGUUGAGCUAAAUCAUGCUAUCAUCAGAGAGCAAGAUUUUCACCAAAAGUCUGGGGAAACCUGGGAUAGAUCCCAACAAGAUGACUCUCCACCUGAAGCCUUCUAGAUCUCAGCCCCUGCCCCACAGGGGAGUAGAUUCUGGGUCUGCCUGUCCCCUCACUGCACUGUUGUGCUGCCUGCACCAGCCUCUGCCACCCGAACAACAGAGCAAUCUCCAUCCCUGCAGUGAAAGUGUGUGGUCUCCAUGUAGAGAUGGAGCAGUGGACAAGGGCUUGAGUGAAACCGUGGCUCGCCUCUCCCCAGUCCUCAUCAGACUAUGUCCUCCCCGAGAGCCGGAGGCCAGCCUGCUCCUCACCUGCCCUGGUACCAGAUCUUCUCCUACAUUUCAUAACGAUGAUGCCAAUUAGGACUGAGACAAUUAGGACUAAGCAGAUGAUGAUUGAUGCGAUGAUCCCUGGAUUUAUCCACAUGGAUGAAGACUGGUGGGUGUCUGGGGUCUUUAAUGGUGGUUCUAAAUAAAGA